GUGAGUCUUGCUAGUUUUUUUUUUCGCGAAGAGUUCAUGCGUUUGAUGUUUUAUUUCGGGUGGUCAAUUGGGACCGAGGUUGGCGCGAUGAACAUCAGAAAGAAAACAUGACAAAUUUGUUUUCACAACUUUUUCUUAGACAUAUUUUUCAUCGGAUAAUCAGAUUUAGGAUGAGGUUGUUUUCAAUCCCGUAACUCAGCGACAUCAUUUCUAGCCGUGUCAAAUAAAUAUGCACCAAAUCGGAAUUACAGAGCACGAAAUCACGAACACGAAAACAAAAAAUGGGAAAUAUUACAAAGACUUUGCUUGGCCAGGAUUUGUACGAAGUCGCCCCAUUGUGAGUUGACUGCUACAUUGAAACUUCACUUAGCUGCACACACAUGGAAAUCGAGUUCUGCUGAACUGAUAGACGCCGAGUGAGCUUUACUCAUACAGGGCUCGGUGCGGUAUUACUACCUGUGCUAGCAUGUUUUCCUUCAAGACAUCAGGUUAUACUAAUAACAUGCUAACGGUUGAAUGAUAAAGGACAAAGCUUUACCUCUGAGACAUCAUAAUAAAGUUCUGUCCAACUAGAAUCCGGAAUCAUUUAUUGUGGUAAUUCAAAUUCAAAGGUUGGCAAUUCAACGUAGUCCGCAAUAAAAAACCUAAAUUAAUCCACCUAGCGGUCAGACUCAGCCUUUCUCAUUCAAACUUAUUAUUUGUAAAAAUAGAUUUACAUGA